rnacentral:rRNA from 1 species
UACGGAGGGUGCGAGCGUUAUUCGGAUUCACUGGGCGUAAAGAGCACGUAGGCGGUUUGGUAAGUCUGAUGUGAAAGCCCUCGACUUAAUCGAGGAAGUGCAUUGGAUACUGCUCAACUAGAGUACAGGAGAGGAAGAUGGAAUUCCCGGUGUAGAGGUGAAAUUCGUAGAUAUCGGGGAGGAACAACAGAGGCGAAGGCGAUCUUCUGGACUGUAACUGACGCUGAGGUGCGAAAGCGUGGGGAGCAAACAGG